rnacentral:rRNA from 1 species
ACGAGUGGCGGACGGGUGAGUAAUGUCUGGGAAACUGCCUGGUGGAGGGGGAUAACUACUGGAAACGGUAGCUAAUACCGCAUAACGUCGAAAGACCAAAGAGGGGGACCUUCGGGCCUCUUGCCAUCGGAUGUGCCCAGAUGGGAUUAGCUUGUUGGUGGGGUAAUGGCUCACCAAGGCGACGAUCCCUAGCUGGUCUGAGAGGAUGACCAGCCACACUGGAACUGAGACACGGUCCAGACUCCUACGGGAGGCAGCAUG